rnacentral:rRNA from 1 species
GCUCCGGCACCUAAGGAUGGGUCUGCGGCCUAUCAGGUAGUAGUGGGUGUAGCGUACCUACUAGCCUACGACGGGUACGGGUUGUGAGAGCAAGAGCCCGGAGAUGGAUUCUGAGACACGAAUCCAGGCCCUACGGGGUGCAGCAGGCGCGAAAACUUUACAAUGCUGGCAACAGCGAUAAGGGAACCUCGAGUGCCAGGUUACAAAUCUGGCUGUCGAGAUGC